UACUUGGAACCAAUCUUUGGAUGCUUUCAUACAAUCCUUUAGAGACCUCUUCAUCAAAUUCAAUUUGCUGGAUUGCUAUUAAAAUAUUCUGGAUUCAAAAGGUGACCAGCUGCAUGCAAUGGAUGAUGAAGCUGACAUUCCCAUCUCUUGUCAAUGAUUUCAAAAAUCAUCUUGUGUUUGGCCGCAUUUCCUUUAAAAGACUUUUGAA
rnacentral:misc_RNA from 1 species